AAAGAAAAUAACAAUGAUUCCCCUAGUAACGGCGAGUGAAGAGGGAUUAGCUCAAAUUUAAAAUCUGCUGGGUUUACCUAUCAGAGUUGUAAUUUGAAGAGGCGUUUUCCGCGUCAUUGUUGGUCCAAAUCCUUUGGGAUAAGGUAUCAUGGAGGGUGAGAAUCCCGUCCGGCCGACAUCAUGAUGUUUUACGAUACGCUUUCAAAGAGUCGAGUUGUUUGGGAUUGCGGCUCAAAAUGGGAGGUAAAUUUCUCCUAAGGCUAAAUAUUGGCGAGAGACCGAUAGCGAACAAGUACCGUGAGGGAAAGAUGAAAAGAACUUUGAAAAGAGAGUUAAAAAGUACGUGAAAUUGUUGAAAGGGAAACGAUUGAAGUCAGUCGUACCGACGAGAAAUCAGCUUUUCGAACGUGCAUUUGUGGGCGUAUGAGAUCUUCAUUGUUUGCAAUAUGUAUGUUUCUUUGGUGUACUUUUUCGUAUGGUAGGUCAACGUCGGUUUUGGUCGCCAUAAAAUGAUCGGAGGAAUGUAGCUUCGACCUCGGUUGAAGUGUUAUAGCCUUUAGUAAAUGUGGUGAUUAGGACCGAGGAUUGCAACGAAUACCUUUUAGGCUAUCCGUCUGACCUCUGAAAGUUACUUAGGUGCCGAAAGCUUGCUUACGGUCAUUUAAGUUGACGGUCAAUAGGUUAGAACGUGAUUACAUUCGUUAAGGACGUUG
rnacentral:rRNA from 1 species